rnacentral:lncRNA from 1 species
GAACCGAAACCUGGCCGUUGGCUGAGCGAGCGCGGGGUGUUUGGGAUGCGGCACGGCGAGGGGGAGCAGGCUUGGCUCGGGCGUAGGGAAUUGGUUUUUUUGUUUUAGCUAUCCAGGUUGUGACUGGUUUACAUAAUUACACGAUUAAGCCAUCAUUGUAGGAAAGGCUUUGCAGGAGAAAAAUGUCUUAACUGGAGGUCUUUGAGACAGAAAAACCCUGCCUCAGCCCUUGGGUCCUGAGAGUCGCGUUUCUUCUCCCCUUCGCUUAAAUAUGUAAACCAGAAUCAUUAUGUUUGGUUCAUGGAACGGAGGAAAAAAAUCCGUGUGCAGGGUCGAGACUGUCGUGGCGGAAGCCGCAGCACCCGGGAGGCAGGGUCUUGACUGGAGUGCAGUGGUGCGAUCGUGGCUCACUGAAGCCUCCGCUUCCUGGGUUCAAGCAAUUCUCCCACCUCAGCUGGGCGAGUAGCUGGUACUACAGCUUUGAAGAGCAGAGAACUCAGGCACAGUUCUGGUGCAUACCUGCUACGCAAGCACUCGUGUUGUGAGCCUCAAACCAGGCACCAGUUUUCAGUCACAAUUUGAAAGCAUCGUUAGCCCUGGUUAUACAGAUGUGCCUAGGAUGUGACUCAGAAGCUGUCUGGUGAAAUCUCCUAUAAUGUAUGGUCCUUGGUAACUCCUAAGCCCCUUCUGCCCCUCAAAGAGCCACAACCUGGCUUAUGAACAAAUGGCCGCAGCUCUCCUGCUAACCACCAUGGAUUUCAGUGGGUCUAUCUGGUCUCCAUUCCUGGUCUUCCUGAGAAGUAAGGUCAGGAGCAGCAGGGGCAGUUGGACUUAGGUCUAGGGCUCUGUUUCUGGUCAUCGGGGGAGUGCUGCAAGACCCACCAGCUCAAGGUGCUAACCUGAGCCUAUCACCUCUGGAUGAAAUGGGGUAAUGUGGAUGGGUGAUGUUGGACAACUGGAAGGAGGACUCAGGUAGCCCCAGCCAAAACAAAAGAGCUGAAGAAUAAAAAUAUGCUGUCUGGCUGACAUUAAUGGCCAAUAUUUAAAAAACUUACAUAUCCCCUUGCCAGUUUAUAGCUCUUAGAUUUUUAAAUAUUUAUUUUUUUACAUACAAAAAUACUUGGGGUUGUUUAUAUUAACAAUUUGAAAAAGAUCCUAUAUACAAUGUAUAAACAGACAAGAAGGAAACCUACUAAAAUGUUAGCGAUUAAAAUCUCUAGGUGGUGAGAGUAUAAGCGAGUUUAUUCUUUACAGUUUUCUUAGGUUUCCAAAUAUUCUCCCAUAUGAAUGUGAUAUUUUUAGACUCAGAAAUGAAUAUACAAGUAUACAAAUUUCCAUUUUCAUUGUGACUAUGGUGAGUUUUUUUGUGUGUCCUUAUCCUACAUUCCUUGAAAUUUUCUCUAAAGAGAUUUGUGUUCUUAUUGAAACAGUAAAUUU